rnacentral:rRNA from 1 species
UACGAAGGGGGCUAGCGUUGCUCGGAAUUACUGGGCGUAAAGGGCGCGUAGGCGGAUAGUUUAGUCAGGGGUGAAAGCCCAGGGCUCAACCUUGGAAUUGCCUUUGAUACUGGCUAUCUUGAGUUCGGGAGAGGUGAGUGGAAUGCCGAGUGUAGAGGUGAAAUUCGUAGAUAUUCGGCGGAACACCAGUGGCGAAGGCGACUCACUGGCCCGAUACUGACGCUGAGGCGCGAAAGCGUGGGGAGCAAACAGG